rnacentral:rRNA from 2 species
UGCAAGUCGAACGAAGCUUUCUUUCACCGAAUGCUUGCAUUCACCGAAAGAAGCUUAGUGGCGAACGGGUGAGUAACACGUAGGCAACCUGCCCAAAAGAGGGGGAUAACACUUGGAAACAGGUGCUAAUACCGCAUAACCAUGAACACCGCAUGAUGUUCAUGUAAAAGACGGCUUUUGCUGUCACUUUUGGAUGGGCCUGCGGCGUAUUAACUUGUUGGUGGGGUAACGGCCUACCAAGGUGAUGAUACGUAGCCGAACUGAGAGGUUGAUCGGCCACAUUGGGACUGAGACACGGCCCAAACUCCUACGGGAGGCAGCAGUAGGGAAUCUUCCACAAUGGACGAAAGUCUGAUGGAGCAACGCCGCGUGAAUGAAGAAGGCCUUCGGGUCGUAAAAUUCUGUUGUCAGAGAAGAACGUGCGUGAGAGUAACUGUUCACGUAUUGACGGUAUCUGACCAGAAAGCCACGGCUAACUACGUGCCAGCAGCCGCGGUAAUACGUAGGUGGCGAGCGUUGUCCGGAUUUAUUGGGCGUAAAGGGAACGCAGGCGGUCUUUUAAGUCUGAUGUGAAAGCCUUCGGCUUAACCGAAGUAGUGCAUUGGAAACUGGAAGACUUGAGUGCAGAAGAGGAGAGUGGAACUCCAUGUGUAGCGGUGAAAUGCGUAGAUAUAUGGAAGAACACCAGUGGCGAAAGCGGCUCUCUGGUCUGUAACUGACGCUGAGGUUCGAAAGCGUGGGUAGCAAACAGGAUUAGAUACCCUGGUAGUCCACGCCGUAAACGAUGAGUGCUAAGUGUUGGAGGGUUUCCGCCCUUCAGUGCUGCAGCUAACGCAUUAAGCACUCCGCCUGGGGAGUACGGUCGCAAGACUGAAACUCAAAGGAAUUGACGGGGGCCCGCACAAGCGGUGGAGCAUGUGGUUUAAUUCGAAGCAACGCGAAGAACCUUACCAGGUCUUGACAUCUUCUGACAAUUCCAGAGAUGGAACGUUCCC